rnacentral:lncRNA from 1 species
GGUUGUAUCUGUAUUUAAAACAGAUUUGAGUUAUCAGUCCUGUUUAUCUCUAGAUCAGUUUCUAGCUCAUUUGCUAGAACACAUACAGUCCAUAACUGUGCUCAAAGUCUUCCACUGUUGUCCUACAUCUGGUUUUUGUUUUUGUGUUUAACAGUUAUUGAUGACCAUUCUUUUGGAGAUUCAUUAAGAGAUUCUGGGAAAACAGAUGAAGACAGCUGGCUUUCUUCAGAAGAUGAAGAGUUAGAUUUCACUCCUAAGAAACCACAGAACCCACAUUUGGCUCAGAUAAUGAAUGUUUGUCAACAGUUAAAAAAAAGCAUAGAUGAGAAAAGUAGCAUUAUCAGAACUGAACCUAAAACCAGUUUACAACAGAAUAAAUCAGACUGUCAAGCUGAAGAUGUCAGUGACUCCCUUCCCAAGCCUUUGUUCCAAGUCCAGUCCUUCCCUCAUGCCGUCCAUCCCUCACCUGGCUCCUUUCCAAAGUGUUCCCAGAGGACUUCUCACUUGGUCUCUAAACAGAUAAUGAAAAUGUCUGCCAGUCAUCAAAAGAGAAUACUAAAUCAGGACUCAUUAAACCAAGCAAGCAAAACUUGAAUGAACAAAAUAGUUCUUCAGGCAAUGAAGAGGAAGAAUUAGAUGAAGAAGGGGAGGAGGAAGAGGAGGAGGAGGAGGAAGAUGAUGAUGAGGAAGAAGAGGAGGAGGAGGAGGAGGAGGAGGAAGAAGAAGCAGAGGAGGAAGAAGAAGCAGAGG